CAUAUCAAUAAGCGGAGGAAAAGAAACCAACAGGGAUUGCCUCAGUAACGGCGAGUGAAGCGGCAAAAGCUCAAAUUUGAAAUCUGGCUCCUUCGGGGUCCGAGUUGUAAUUUGGAGAGGAUGCUCUGGGAGUGGUCGCGGUCUAAGUCCCCUGGAACGGGGCGUCGCAGAGGGUGAGAAUCCCGUCUUCGGCCGGCCGGCUGCAACCGUGUAGAGCUCCUUCGACGAGUCGAGUUGUUUGGGAAUGCAGCUCUAAAUGGGUGGUAAAUUUCAUCUAAAGCUAAAUACUGGUCGGAGACCGAUAGCGCACAAGUAGAGUGAUCGAAAGAUGAAAAGCACUUUGAAAAGAGAGUUAAAAAGCAUGUGAAAUUGUUGAAAGGGAAGCACAUGCGACCAGAGUCGGCCGUGGGGGUUCAGCAGGGGUUCUCCCCUGUGUAUUCCCCUGCGGUCGGGCCAGCAUCAGUUCUGGCGGCCGGUUAAAGGCUUCGGGAAUGUAUCCUCCUCCGGGAGGUCUUAUAGCCCGAGGUGCAAUGCGGCCAGCCGGGACUGAGGAACGCGCUUCGGCACGGAUGCUGGCUUAAUGGUCGUUUGUGGC
rnacentral:rRNA from 1 species